rnacentral:lncRNA from 1 species
UAAUGCAGAAGUAACAAUGAAGAUGACACUGAUUCACACAAAAUUUAAUUUGUUACAUGAGUAAAUAAACAAAGCAAAAUGAACAGAAUUUACUAUACUGCAUCCCUGCUGGGAGUAUGUUGAGCUAUCUGGCCUGGAAGGCCUUUGUGACCUGUUGAAAGAAUAUACAUGGAUUUACUUCAGGAGAAAAAUAAAGUGUUAUUUUAAAAA